rnacentral:rRNA from 1 species
UACGAAGGGGGCUAGCGUUGCUCGGAAUUACUGGGCGUAAAGGGCGCGUAGGCGGCACUGUUAGUCAGGCGUGAAAGUCCUGGGCUCAACCUGGGAACUGCGCUUGAUACGGCAGAGCUAGAGGAUGGAAGAGGCUCGCGGAAUUCCCGGUGUAGAGGUGAAAUUCGUAGAUAUCGGGAGGAACACCGGUGGCGAAGGCGGCGACCUGGACAGUAACUGACGCUGAGACGCGAAAGCGUGGGUAGCAAACAGG